AAACAUUAUAAUUUAAAUGCUUAUUAAGAAUAACCAUUCCUCCUGGUCCCACCCUGUCAACGGGAAUAUUAGAGGGACUUUCCUCUUUUGCUGAAGGCGUAAACACGCUCAACACCUUCUCUCUGCUCAGUGAGUUUUCUGAAAUAGGAUCUAAGGUGCACAGGUUAUCUGAAAGAGUUCUCAUCUCUGAUGUCGACAUCGUAAUUAAUGCCAUGGUACGGAUUCCUAGGCGUGUUUCCGUUCUGAUUCGACCGGCGCCGCGGCGAAUCGGUUUCUCCACCGAGGGAUCCCUGAAGAGAAGCCGUGUUGUCUCCGACCGACGAUGACCCGCAAGAAGAUGGAUUCACGUCCGAUUCUCCUGAUGCCCAGGUUUGUUCUUCGAUGAUUAAAACAGUAUACCAAUCUCCAUCUAUGUUAACCCUAGCUCUGCUUCGAAUUAAAUCCAGGUGAUCUGUGAAAAUCAUUAUUCUGCAAACAUCCAGUCGGUUCUCCUUUUGAUUCAGGGUUUGGGGAUUCAACAUCUUCCCAUAUCCAGCUAACAGGGUGUUCAAGAAUCUUUCGUUUCUGGAGAAGCAAGGAACACCGUAGAUGGCCACCGAAGCGACUCUAGCACAUUCAACAUCUGUUUUCUUCCAUCUCCUCACAUCUUCAAACCAGAAUUCCAGCCAGUCUUUCCCUUCUUGCAUCAACGUUUCAAGCUCACCUUCCGCUAUCUCCUCUAACAGACAUAAGCUUGGGCCUAGAGCUGUUGCCGACACGGUGAAGAUCCCCUCCUCCAAUAAACUGUUAGCCACUACGUUUCGACUCAAGAUCUCCUUUGAUGAUGUCUGCAAAGGACUUCGAAGAACCCUCACCUCCCCCAACCUUAGAAACCAUUUUGUUAUUUCUGAUAGCAUUAGCUGAGAAACUCGCCCUUUUAGGUAAAGAGUUUAUCUCCUGUUUCCUUAGAUUAGCUGCUGGGUUGUUUAUGUUUCUCAAUUCUUUCCGUUUAAUCCUUGAAAUGUUGGCGCUAAGCUUAGUGCCAUCAAGCCAAACAUUGUCCAUUUUGGUCUCCAAGAACUUCUCGUCUGUUACGUUUACGAAUCUGACGAACCCAAAUCUUUGACCUCGCCAAUCCCUUUUUGGAGGUAUAACAAUUUCUUCAAUCACCCCCAUCUCCUUGAACCCUAUGAAAAGGUCUCUAGCACACCAUUUUUCUGUGAAAUCAGUAAUGAAAAUGGUGAGAACAUCCUUCCUGUUUGACUCUAUCUCCUUUCUAACAAUGUCCCAUUUAGGUCUCUCCACAAUAGGUCUCUCCAUGAAUUUGUUCUUCUUCCCUGUUACCCUGCGCCAUUCUCCUGCCAUGACUAGCCGGUGAAAACGUUGAAAUCUCAAAAAAGCUCAAAACCUGAUAGAACACUCACACACUCUCUGUUUUUUCUACAUUCUGUAAUAUUCAUGUUGUUUUUUUUUGCAACAAUGAUUGUUUAGUUAACGGUGGAAACACUAUUCCUAAUGGAGGUGUUAUUUCCUUCAAAUAUGCUAACACAUAUUCUUAUGCUCUUUCUGUUUCAUCUGUGGAUUGUUUUCCAAGAUUCUUAUUUACACAUGAUUUUUCUAUUCUUAUUCCAAGGCUUAAAAGAGUGAGAAUAUAACAUUUUCUUAGGAAUAAGUUCAACCAACUCUAACUUUCCAUUGUCAAUCUCAUUUUCUAUUAUUUUUAUUUUUGUAUAAUUUUAAAUUAAACAAAUUUUAUCAUUAUUCCUUGGAAAUUAAAUUCUUAGCAAACACAUAUGUUGGAAUAUUAUUUCAAGGAAUACUAAUCCUAGGAAUACCAUUUCAAAAAAUAACUUUUCUAACCUUGAAACAAAUACACCCUUGAACAUAUAAAAUAGAGGUGUUACAAUUAACUUUGCUAAAAAUCUCAUUGCACAUGAGAUGAGAAAACAUAUUAAGAUGAGGUUUCAUUACUUGAGGGAUCUAGUGUGUGAAUGCAAGCUGGGGUUGGGAUACUGUCGAAGUGAAGAACAAGUUGCAGAUUUGCUGACGAAAGGGGUCACAAAUGUUUUGUUCAAGAAGUUGGUAAUGAGCCUGAGCAUGAAAAACUUGGAGCAUUUGAAUAAAGGUGGUGUAUUGAAUGUGCAUAGUAAUUCAAACGCAAUAUAAGCUUCUGGGAGCAAUCUGAUGUGAACAACUUAAAAAAUAAACACUUUUGAAAGCAUAACCGAUUACAGGAGGCUAUUUUAAUUUUUGCAUUUCUGUUAUGUGUAGGCGUGACUGGUUACAGCAUUUGGCGUAACCAGUUACGAGCCCAAGUUUAAGCUUUUUAGCUUUUUUUUUAGUUGUUUUGUAUUCCACUUGUUUGGACUUAACUUGUAUAAGUACCAUCAAGUGUAACAUUUGUUGUUAAUGUCAAAUUCACUCAUCAUCUCAAUUACUCUCUCUUUUUCACUCUAUUAUUUUCUCACUUUCAUCUUCCUCAAUUAUCACCUUUCUCCGUUGAUUCACCAAAAUAAUUUAUGUAAGUGCUAACAUAUUUGAUGUAUUUUCUCUUCAAGAAGAUAAAAGAUAAAAAGAAAAGUUAUGAGAUUCAUUUAUAAUUAAUGGGAUAAAAUUGUGUCUCCGUAAA